GUGAACGCUGGCGGCAUGCUUAAGACAUGCAAGUCGAACGAAGGUAGCAAUACCUUAGUGGCAAACGGGUGAGUAAUGAAUGGGAAUCUACCUUACAGUGGGGGACAACAGUUGGAAACGACUGCUAAUACCGCAUAUUACCAUUUAUGGGAAAGGCUUCGGCCGCUGUUAGAUGAGCCCAUUUCUGAUUAGCUAGUUGGUGGGGUAAUGGCCUACCAAGGCGAUGAUCAGUAGCUGGUCUGAGAGGAUGAUCAGCCACACCGGAACUGAGACACGGUCCGGACUCCUACGGGAGGCAGCAGUCGGGAAUAUUGGACAAUGGACGAAAGUCUGAUCCAGCAAUGCCGCGUGAGUGAUGAAGGUCUUAGGAUUGUAAAGCUCUUUUGACAGGGAAGAUAAUGACGGUACCUGUAGAAUAAGCACCGGCCAAUUUCGU
rnacentral:rRNA from 1 species